UUGAAGGUUGGGUAACACUAACUGGAGGACCGAACCGACUAAUGUUGAAAAAUUAGCGGAUGACUUGUGGCUGGGGGUGAAAGGCCAAUCAAACCGGGAGAUAGCUGGUUCUCCCCGAAAGCUAUUUAGGUAGCGCCUCGUGAAUUCAUCUCCGGGGGUAGAGCACUGUUUCGGCAAGGGGGUCAUCCCGACUUACCAACCCGAUGCAAACUGCGAAUACCGGAGAAUGUUAUCACGGGAGACACACGGCGGGUGCUAACGUCCGUCGUGAAGAGGGAAACAACCCAGACCGCCAGCUAAGGUCCCAAAGUCAUGGUUAAGUGGGAAACGAUGUGGGAAGGCCCAGACAGCCAGGAUGUUGGCUUAGAAGCAGCCAUCAUUUAAAGAAAGCGUAAUAGCUCACUGGUCGAGUCGGCCUGCGCGGAAGAUGUAACGGGGCUAAACCAUGCACCGAAGCUGCGGCAGCGACGCUGAUGCGUUGUUGGGUAGGGGAGCGUUCUGUAAGCCUGUGAAGGUGCGCUGUGAGGCAUGCUGGAGGUAUCAGAAGUGCGAAUGCUGACAUAAGUAACGAUAAAGCGGGUGAAAAGCCCGCUCGCCGGAAGACCAAGGGUUCCUGUCCAACGUUAAUCGGGGCAGGGUGAGUCGACCCCUAAGGCGAGGCCGAAAGGCGUAGUCGAUGGGAAACAGGUUAAUAUUCCUGUACUUGGUGUUACUGCGAAGGGGGGACGGAGAAGGCUAUGUUGGCCGGGCGACGGUUGUCCCGGUUUAAGCGUGUAGGCUGGUUUUCCAGGCAAAUCCGGAAAAUCAAGGCUGAGGCGUGAUGACGAGGUACUACGGUGCUGAAGCAACAAAUGCCCUGCUUCCAGGAAAAGCCUCUAAGCAUCAGGUAACAUCAAAUCGUACCCCAAACCGACACAGGUGGUCAGGUAGAGAAUACCAAGGCGCUUGAGAGAACUCGGGUGAAGGAACUAGGCAAAAUGGUGCCGUAACUUCGGGAGAAGGCACGCUGAUAUGUAGGUGAAGUCCCUCGCGGAUGGAGCUGAAAUCAGUCGAAGAUACCAGCUGGCUGCAACUGUUUAUUAAAAACACAGCACUGUGCAAACACGAAAGUGGACGUAUACGGUGUGACGCCUGCCCGGUGCCGGAAGGUUAAUUGAUGGGGUCAGCGCAAGCGAAGCUCUUGAUCGAAGCCCCGGUAAACGGCGGCCGUAACUAUAACGGUCCUAAGGUAGCGAAAUUCCUUGUCGGGUAAGUUCCGACCUGCACGAAUGGCGUAAUGAUGGCCAGGCUGUCUCCACCCGAGACUCAGUGAAAUUGAACUCGCUGUGAAGAUGCAGUGUACCCGCGGCAAGACGGAAAGACCCCGUGAACCUUUACUAUAGCUUGACACUGAACAUUGAGCCUUGAUGUGUAGGAUAGGUGGGAGGCUUUGAAGUGUGGACGCCAGUCUGCAUGGAGCCGACCUUGAAAUACCACCCUUUAAUGUUUGAUGUUCUAACGUUGACCCGUAAUCCGGGUUGCGGACAGUGUCUGGUGGGUAGUUUGACUGGGGCGGUCUCCUCCUAAAGAGUAACGGAGGAGCACGAAGGUUGGCUAAUCCUGGUCGGACAUCAGGAGGUUAGUGCAAUGGCAUAAGCCAGCUUGACUGCGAGCGUGACGGCGCGAGCAGGUGCGAAAGCAGGUCAUAGUGAUCCGGUGGUUCUGAAUGGAAGGGCCAUCGCUCAACGGAUAAAAGGUACUCCGGGGAUAACAGGCUGAUACCGCCCAAGAGUUCAUAUCGACGGCGGUGUUUGGCACCUCGAUGUCGGCUCAUCACAUCCUGGGGCUGAAGUAGGUCCCAAGGGUAUGGCUGUUCGCCAUUUAAAGUGGUACGCGAGCUGGGUUUAGAACGUCGUGAGACAGUUCGGUCCCUAUCUGCCGUGGGCGCUGGAGAACUGAGGGGGGCUGCUCCUAGUACGAGAGGACCGGAGUGGACGCAUCACUGGUGUUCGGGUUGUCAUGCCAAUGGCACUGCCCGGUAGCUAAAUGCGGAAGAGAUAAGUGCUGAAAGCAUCUAAGCACGAAACUUGCCCCGAGAUGAGUUCUCCCUGACUCCUUGAGAGUCCUGAAGGAACGUUGAAGACGACGACGUUGAUAGGCCGGGUGUGUAAGCGCAGCGAUGCGUUGAGCUAACCGGUACUAAUGAACCGUGAGGCUUAACCUU
rnacentral:rRNA from 1 species